AAUUUUAAGGUCAAGCUACAAAGGGCGCAUGGUGAAUGCCUUGGCACUAGGAGCCGAAGAAGGACGCGAUAAGCUGCGAUAAGCCUUGGGUAGCCGCAAAUAGGCUGAGAUCCAGGGAUUUCCGAAU
rnacentral:rRNA from 1 species